ensembl:snRNA U6 U6 spliceosomal RNA
GUGCUCGCUUCGGCAGCAUAUGUACUAAAACUGGAACGAUACAGAGAAGAUUAGCACGGCCCCUGCUCAAGGAUGACACGCAAAUCUGUGAAGCGUUCCAUAUUUUU